rnacentral:rRNA from 1 species
UACAGAGGUCUCAAGCGUUGUUCGGAUUCAUUGGGCGUAAAGGGUGCGUAGGUGGCGCGCUAAGUCAGGUGUGAAAUCUCGGAGCUUAACUCCGAAACUGCAUUUGAUACUGGCGUGCUUGAGGACUGGAGAGGAGACUGGAAUUCACGGUGUAGCAGUGAAAUGCGUAGAUAUCAGGAGGAACACCUAUGGCGAAGGCAGCUCGCUGGGACGGUACUGACGCUGAGGCGCGAAAGCGUGGGGAGCAAACAGG